rnacentral:lncRNA from 1 species
AAUUUUUUUAUUCUCUCUACUUAAUGUAAUUGAUGAUGAUAAUCAUGUUGGUGAUGAUCAUGAUGAUCAUAACUCCAAAAGUUAAAAGUUUCUUAACAAGUUGCACAUAGAUCAAUUGUUAAAGGUACAUAUUGCAAGGGACAUAUUUAGACAGGCCUACUAAAGAUGUGUUUAGCAGAUUUUGUGGCUCUUGCAAGAUUUGUAUCUGAUUUAGUAAAACCAUUUAGGUUAGGUGAGGGACAACCAAGUGAAGAGUUGCCAGUCAUUGUUUCUGCAUUGUGUAUUUUAGCUUUCAGUAGCUCAGCUCUCCUAGCAAUGUUCCUUUAAAUUUUUAAUAGUCAGUGUGUGCAAAAAUCUUUAUGUUGUGCAAAUUAUUUUCUUGUGACAACAAUGCAUAUACUAGGUAACUAGCACUUUAUGCACACAUUAAUUUUGUAAUGCACUGAUUGCAAAAAUAUAAGAGCAGGCACACAUGUAAUAACUUAGAAGGAAUAAUGCUACCAAGGUUGUAUCAUAUGAGACAUAUUUCACUACUUUAUGCAGUAACAGCACUGUGAAAUUGUUGAUUUUCAUCAGCUUGCAGUGCUAACAUUCUAUAGCAGAGAGAAGUGUAUCUAUUGUAGAUGAGUGUCCUAUUCAAGGACAAAUUGUUUCUCAUCUGUUUAAUGCCACAGAAACUGGAAUUGAACAUUAAACCUAUGCAUUGUUGGGAUUCAGAAGGUUUGUACUUUCUGAGUGAUUUUUUUCCCUUUGGACAAGCUCCACAAGAAAUUUGCUUAAAAUAGAGAAGGUUUAUUGGGACAUCAUCUCAUUCUCUUGCUCAAAUUAUGUAUUUACCUAAAGUAAGUCCUUAAAUUUUUGACAUCGAACCUGAAAAUGAGGUAUGGGGAACAUCUGAGAAUUGAAAAGAAAAGUUUUCAUAAUUUAGUGAAAAAUAAAUUUCCAAGGAGUAGUGAUUUUUUACUAUUUACGAGUAAACAACUGCAUUUGUGUGUGUUAGUUUCAACAAAUGAGUUGCUGGUCAUCUAACAGGCAAUGUCACCUUAAGACAUAGGCACAUUGAGUAAUUGCUCGGUGGUCUGUAUUACAAGUCUAGAGGCCCAAUUCUGAUCUAUGUAUGCUGUGGCUUGCUGUUAAUAAAUAAAUACUAAUGCAGCAAUUUGCAUGGGUACCUGUAGUGCUACUAAAAGGUUGUUAGAAUAUCAUUACUUCAUUUAAAAAAAAUUCUUUGCCUUUGUUAAUUUCAUUAUGAAAAACACAUUCUUUAAUCAUUCAGGAAGGUACUUAGCUCUCUACACUGGUUUAGAUAUAAUGACAAAAUAUUAAGUAUUAAUAAUAAGUUAUAAUUUUUAGAGAUGAAUAUAUCUUUUUUUGAACGAACAAAAGCAUUGAAAUACAAAAUGGCAGAUGACUUCAAAGAUUAUUUGUAAUUUUAUAAAUGACUCUGUUAAAUUAAUUUUAAACAUGGGUUUAUAAGUUUUAAGUUUAAAAUAUUUGUAUUGAACAUUACUAUGGAAUCUGUGAUAAUUCUGUAUUCAGAAGAGUUUCCAUCAAACUAUUUUUCUAUAUUUUUACUAUAUCAUGUACAUUUUAUUUGUAAAUAAUGAAAUAAUGAUGAAAAAUUUUUGCUUUGUUUUAUAAGAAAAGUAUUUUGAUUCAUUCAGUUUCUAUGGUUCUAAUAUUUCUGGUUGAGUGGUAAAUUGCACCAAUAAAAACUAUCCCAGUCACUCUAGCUUGGAAUAAUUACUGAAUGUAAAGGAUCAAAUGAAAAACUAUGCAACAGUCCAUUCUCAUAAUUCUAAUGCUGCAAUAUGCUACUCUUGUAGGGCUGUCAAUUAUAGUUGGUGGACCUUAUUAUGCAUUACUUGGUUUGGUAACUGGUUUUAUAUAUGUUUUUUAUCUAGCAUGGAAAUAUACUCCUAAUUAAAGAAUUAUAAAAUUGCUGUAAUGUAUCAAAUCUUACAGAAUUAAUGCUAUCAAAGAUUGAACAUCACUCUCUAUUUUAUAACCAUUUUUCGUCUUUGCUGGCAUGGAUAUAGAUUGUCUCUCCAAACUAAAACAAAAAGAGCAUUAAUUCUGAAACAAGUGUUCCACAUCAGGACACUUCCUUAACAAUAGUCACUAUGUGACCUACUUUUCAUCAUACAUCAACGAAUGUUUGAGCUCGUCAUCCUGGCCGUACACACAAAAGAAAAAAAAUUAAUAUUUUGAAAAUUGAACUGUUAAAUAUUUUUAAAAAAUGAUAUAACAAUUAAAAUUGCUUACUGAUGUCUUCCAUCUCUUGUCAUACUUUCAGAAAACUGCUUGUAAAAAGGUUAAGGCAAGUAAAAUAAGCUUUGACUAUGGACACAACUUAGUGUUACACUGUAGGUUUUGAUAUGGUUUAAACCUUAUUUAUCAUCAGUAACAAUAAAAUGCUUAAAGAUAUUAAUUUUACUGACUUUCAUCGGGCAAUGCACAUAACAUCCAUACCUUAUUUACAAUAACCACCAUGUUGGUUGGUUGUGUUUUGUGCAGCAAAAAAUAGAUGAGUUGAUUAUAUGAAACAUUUACAUUCAUGAAUUUGGUGAAAAAUAAAAGAUUACAAUGACUAACAAACCAAAAAGAAGUUAAUGUUG